GGAGGCAUGGCUCAAGUGGUAGAGUGCUUACUUAGCAAAUAGGGAGUUCUGAGUUCAAACCCCAGCACCACCA
rnacentral:tRNA from 1 species